ACUGUGCACAAACAAAGCAAAAAAAAAAAAGCUCCAAACUAAACACCAGCCGCUACCUGACUAAGCAGCUGGUGUGAACGUUGCUCGAUUCGAAAUCCAUCCAAAUGAUACGAACAAGCAAGAUAAGGAGCGAUUCGUAAAGAAAACCUUUUCCGGUUGUAGUCACGUGACAUCAGCAAGAAAGCGCCGAGGUUUGAAUCCUGGGAAAUUUCCUCUUCAUCACGUUGUGCCACCAUGCCAACCUCCAACCCUCGUCUUCUCUAUUUCCAACGCGUUUCACUCAAUGGGACCAACUGCACGGAUCAAAAGGUCUCAUUCUUUGCUCCGCUUGCUUUUUUCUUUUUCUUUUUUUUCUCCCUCUUGUUUUCCUUUUAUUUUCUUCCUUCCCCGCAGAAAGCCCAGGGCGGCCGCUUCAUUGUUUUCUGCGUCCUUUCAUCUCUUAAAGAUAACACACAAAGAGAGCUAACUGGUGUUGCUGAUGUUUAUUUCCCCCGACCGGCGCGGGUACACAAGGCCUCCGGUUCUUCUUAGACCGGCGAGGGGGGGGGGGGAGGUUCUGCUUACACGCAGGAUAAGAAGAGAAGUUAAGGCCCACUGUAACACACGACGAUGUUUGGGCCGAGAUUUAUCCUCUAGCUUUUCCUCAAGUAAUCUGCACGCUGGGAGAAAAAAAAAAAAAAGGCCUUGCAGCAGGGAAGUCCCAAAAGUGAUUCAUCACAGCUUCUACUCAAAGCCAUUCCAUCAUGGACGUUACAGUAACUUACAGCCUGGCAACAUGGCUGCAAAAGCUGCCUUGCGGAUGCUAGUGGCUUCUUUUUUUUUUGUCACUGCUGCCUUGCCUGUUCUACACUGUCCGAUAUAUAUUAAUAAAAUAAUGAUAGAAGCUGCCUGGACGGGUUGCGGUGGCUAAUGCUAGUACUGAAAUGGGGUACACAGGUCAAGCUUAGUAAUUGGACGUGCAAGGAAAUUCUCCAAAUACAACAUAAAUGUUUAGUUGGAAGAAGUCAUUUUGGGAGCUAUUUCCAUAAAAAAGAGGCCUGUAAAUAAUUAAAUCAAUAAAUACACAAAUUUAAAAAUAAAUCAAUAACUGCCCCUGACACCAGUUUCAUCCAUCAGUCUGAAAUUUGAUUAAAAAAAAAAAAAAGACUAAAAAGUCAGAAGGACCCCAUGAGAGAAAUUGAGCAGGUGGCCAUUUUGGAAAUGAAAUCCACAUUACUUGUAAAUUAAUACUAAUAUUAAUAAUAAAUUAGUAUUGAGUAUUGGCCUGGAAAUGUGGCCACUCUGCGAACGGCUGGCCUACGUGCGCAACGAAUUCACUCUUGUUCUGCACCACUUCUUCUGUACAUUAGUGUGUGUGUGUGUGUGUGUGUGUGUGCACUUUAGCUGUUUGUUUACGGACGCGGCGAACUCGCUAAUGUGCUUAUGUGGGUCAACGGGGUUCGUCGGAACCACGUGAGCCCGGCCGACCUCCGCCGCCACCUCACGGCUCAUUAUUGGGCUCUAACAACGUUAUCUCGCUGACGUCGCCACCAUCGCCGUGACUUUGACUUGCCGCGCUUCUGUUUGCUGAGAUUAGUCCGGCUCGUCCUUGCUCUGCCUUUUUAGCGCUUUCGUUCGUCAUUCGGACUUUGGGAAUAGUACGACACAUACAAUUGGAAGCAAGGACGAUAGAUGGAUAGAUGGAUAGAUGGAUAGAUGGAUAGAUGGAUAGAUAGAUAGAUAGAUAGAUAGAUAGAUAGAUAGAUAGAUAGAUAGAUAGAUAGAUAGAUAGAUAGAUAGAUAGAUAGAUAGAUAGAUAGAUAGAUAGAUAGAUAGAUAGAUAGAUAGAUAGAUAGAUAGAUAGAUAGAUAGAUAGAUAGAUAGAUAGAUAGAUAGAUAGAUAGAUAGAUACCGUAAUUUUCGGACUAUAAGUCGCACCGGAGUAUAAGUCGCACCAGCCAUAAAAUGCCCAAAAAAGAGAAAAAAAAACAUAUAUAUAUGUAUAUAAGUCGCU